ACAGGAAACAGCUUGCUGUUUCGCUGACGAGUGGCGGACGGGUGAGUAAUGUCUGGGAAACUGCCUGAUGGAGGGGGAUAACUACUGGAAACGGUAGCUAAUACCGCAUAACGUCGCAAGACCAAAGAGGGGGACCUUCGGGCCUCUUGCCAUCGGAUGUGCCCAGAUGGGAUUAGCUAGUAGGUGGGGUAACGGCUCACCUAGGCGACGAUCCCUAGCUGGUCUGAGAGGAUGACCAGCCACACUGGAACUGAGACACGGUCCAGACUCCUACGGGAGGCAGCAGUGGGGAAUAUUGCACAAUGGGCGCAAGCCUGAUGCAGCCAUGCCGCGUGUAUGAAGAAGGCCUUCGGGUUGUAAAGUACUUUCAGCGGGGAGGAAGGGAGUAAAGUUAAUACCUUUGCUCAUUGACGUUACCCGCAGAAGAAGCACCGGCUAACUCCGUGCCAGCAGCCGCGGUAAUACGGAGGGUGCAAGCGUUAAUCGGAAUUACUGGGCGUAAAGCGCACGCAGGCGGUUUGUUAAGUCAGAUGUGAAAUCCCCGGGCUCAACCUGGGAACUGCAUCUGAUACUGGCAAGCUUGAGUCUCGUAGAGGGGGGUAGAAUUCCAGGUGUAGCGGUGAAAUGCGUAGAGAUCUGGAGGAAUACCGGUGGCGAAGGCGGC
rnacentral:rRNA from 1 species